GGGUUGUGAGGUUAAGCGACUAAGCGUACACGGUGGAUGCCCUGGCAGUCAGAGGCGAUGAAGGACGUGCUAAUCUGCGAUAAGCGCCGGUAAGGUGAUAUGAACCGUUAUAACCGGCGAUUUCCGAAUGGGGAAACCCAGUGUGAUUCGUCACACUAUCGUUAACUGAAUACAUAGGUUAACGAAGCGAACCGGGGGAACUGAAACAUCUAAGUACCCCGAGGAAAAGAAAUCAACCGAGAUUCCCCCAGUAGCGGCGAGCGAACGGGGAGCAGCCCAGAGUCUGAAUCAGCAUGUGUGUUAGUGGAACGGUCUGGAAAGUCCGACGGUACAGGGUGAUAGUCCCGUACACAAAAAUGCACAGGUUGUGAACUCGAAGAGUAGGGCGGGACACGUGGUAUCCUGUCUGAAUAUGGGGGGACCAUCCUCCAAGGCUAAAUACUCCUGACUGACCGAUAGUGAACCAGUACCGUGAGGGAAAGGCGAAAAGAACCCCGGCGAGGGGAGUGAAAAAGAACCUGAAACCGUGUACGUACAAGCAGUGGGAGCACCUUCGGGUGUGACUGCGUACCUUUUGUAUAAUGGGUCAGCGACUUAUAUUCUGUAGCAAGGUUAACCGUAUAGGGGAGCCGAAGGGAAACCGAGUCUUAACUGGGCGUUAAGUUGCAGGGUAUAGACCCGAAACCCGGUGAUCUAGCCAUGGGCAGGUUGAAGGUUGGGUAACACUAACUGGAGGACCGAACCGACUAAUGUUGAAAAAUUAGCGGAUGACUUGUGGCUGGGGGUGAAAGGCCAAUCAAACCGGGAGAUAGCUGGUUCUCCCCGAAAGCUAUUUAGGUAGCGCCUCGUGAAUUCAUCUUCGGGGGUAGAGCACUGUUUCGGCUAGGGGGUCAUCCCGACUUACCAACCCGAUGCAAACUGCGAAUACCGAAGAAUGUUAUCACGGGAGACACACGGCGGGUGCUAACGUCCGUCGUGAAGAGGGAAACAACCCAGACCGCCAGCUAAGGUCCCAAAGUCAUGGUUAAGUGGGAAACGAUGUGGGAAGGCACAGACAGCCAGGAUGUUGGCUUAGAAGCAGCCAUCAUUUAAAGAAAGCGUAAUAGCUCACUGGUCGAGUCGGCCUGCGCGGAAGAUGUAACGGGGCUAAACCAUGCACCGAAGCUGCGGCAGCGACACUAUGUGUUGUUGGGUAGGGGAGCGUUCUGUAAGCCGUUGAAGGUGGCCUGUGAGGGUUGCUGGAGGUAUCAGAAGUGCGAAUGCUGACAUAAGUAACGAUAAUGCGGGUGAAAAACCCGCACGCCGGAAGACCAAGGGUUCCUGUCCAACGUUAAUCGGGGCAGGGUGAGUCGANNNNNNNNNNNNNNNNNNNNNNNNNNNNNNNNNNNNNNNNNNNNNNNNGCCGGGCGACGGUUGUCCCGGUUUAAGCAUGUAGGCGGAGGUUCCAGGUAAAUCCGGUACCUUUUAACGCUGAGGUGUGAUGACGAGGCACUACGGUGCUGAAGUGACAAAUGCCCUGCUUCCAGGAAAAGCCUCUAAGCAUCAGGUAACAUCAAAUCGUACCCCAAACCGACACAGGUGGUCAGGUAGAGAAUACCAAGGCGCUUGAGAGAACUCGGGUGAAGGAACUAGGCAAAAUGGUGCCGUAACUUCGGGAGAAGGCACGCUGAUAGGUAGGUGAAGUGAUUUACUCAUGGAGCUGAAAUCAGUCGAAGAUACCAGCUGGCUGCAACUGUUUAUUAAAAACACAGCACUGUGCAAACACGAAAGUGGACGUAUACGGUGUGACGCCUGCCCGGUGCCGGAAGGUUAAUUGAUGGGGUUAUCCGUAAGGAGAAGCUCUUGAUCGAAGCCCCGGUAAACGGCGGCCGUAACUAUAACGGUCCUAAGGUAGCGAAAUUCCUUGUCGGGUAAGUUCCGACCUGCACGAAUGGCGUAAUGAUGGCCAGGCUGUCUCCACCCGAGACUCAGUGAAAUUGAACUCGCUGUGAAGAUGCAGUGUACCCGCGGCAAGACGGAAAGACCCCGUGAACCUUUACUAUAGCUUGACACUGAACACUGGUCCUUGAUGUGUAGGAUAGGUGGGAGGCUUUGAAGUGUGGACGCCAGUCUGCAUGGAGCCGUCCUUGAAAUACCACCCUUUAAUGGCUGGUGUUCUAACGUGGGCCCGUAAUCCGGGUUGCGGACAGUGUCUGGUGGGUAGUUUGACUGGGGCGGUCUCCUCCCAAAGAGUAACGGAGGAGCACGAAGGUUAGCUAAUCCUGGUCGGACAUCAGGAGGUUAGUGCAAAGGCAUAAGCUAGCUUGACUGCGAGAGUGACGGCUCGAGCAGGUGCGAAAGCAGGUCUUAGUGAUCCGGUGGUUCUGAAUGGAAGGGCCAUCGCUCAACGGAUAAAAGGUACUCCGGGGAUAACAGGCUGAUACCGCCCAAGAGUUCAUAUCGACGGCGGUGUUUGGCACCUCGAUGUCGGCUCAUCACAUCCUGGGGCUGAAGUAGGUCCCAAGGGUAUGGCUGUUCGCCAUUUAAAGUGGUACGCGAGCUGGGUUUAGAACGUCGUGAGACAGUUCGGUCCCUAUCUGCCGUGGGCGCUGGAGAAUUGAGGGGGGCUGCUCCUAGUACGAGAGGACCGGAGUGGACGCAUCACUGGUGUUCGGGUUGUCAUGCCAAUGGCACUGCCCGGUAGCUAAAUGCGGAAGAGAUAAGUGCUGAAAGCAUCUAAGCACGAAACUUGCCCCGAGAUGAGUUCUCCCUGAGAC
rnacentral:rRNA from 1 species